CAAGUCGAACGGUAGCACAGAGAGCUUGCUCUCGGGUGACGAGUGGCGGACGGGUGAGUAAUAUCUGGGAAACUGCCUGAUGGAGGGGGAUAACUACUGGAAACGGUAGCUAAUACCGCAUAACGUCGCAAGACCAAAGAGGGGGACCUUCGGGCCUCUUGCCAUCAGAUGUGCCCAGAUGGGAUUAGCUAGUAGGUGGGGUAACGGCUCACCUAGGCGACGAUCCCUAGCUGGUCUGAGAGGAUGACCAGCCACACUGGAACUGAGACACGGUCCAGACUCCUACGGGAGGCAGCAGUGGGGAAUAUUGCACAAUGGGCGCAAGCCUGAUGCAGCCAUGCCGCGUGUAUGAAGAAGGCCUUCGGGUUGUAAAGUACUUUCAGCGGGGAGGAAGGUGUUGUGGUUAAUAACCGCAGCAAUUGACGUUACCCGCAGAAGAAGCACCGGCUAACUCCGUGCCAGCAGCCGCGGUAAUACGGAGGGUGCAAGCGUUAAUCGGAAUUACUGGGCGUAAAGCGCACGCAGGCGGUCUGUCAAGUCGGAUGUGAAAUCCCCGGGCUCAACCUGGGAACUGCAUUCGAAACUGGCAGGCUAGAGUCUUGUAGAGGGGGGUAGAAUUCCAGGUGUAGCGGUGAAAUGCGUAGAGAUCUGGAGGAAUACCGGUGGCGAAGGCGGCCCCCUGGACAAAGACUGACGCUCAGGUGCGAAAGCGUGGGGAGCAAACAGG
rnacentral:rRNA from 1 species